AUGACUGCAGAGAGAAACUCUUGGAGGAGCCAAUCCAUAUGCAGCAGCAUGGAAGUGAGGAGGCAUUCACUGCCUGCCAUUUCCAGCAGAUUUAGCAUCAGGCUCAGCUUGCAGCCCAGCAAACAACACUAUUUACUUCCAGAAGGAGUAGUGGGAAAGAAAGAAACAACAAACAGAUCUCCAGACCUGCAGCUGCUUGAAUUGGUCUGGUUUGUGGCAGCACCGCUGUUUUUCAUCAUUCUCCAUGUAAUUCAUAUUGGAUGUCAGGGGUAUGGAGAACUGUCACUCCUGUGUGGAUCAGAGCAGCUCUCACCCCAUGCUCACCAGGGAACAUAGUGCACCUUCUGUACCAGCAUGGGGGAAUAAGGGCAGUGCUCAACGUGUUAUCUCCUGUCUGACUGCUAGAGCCAUUUUUAGGAGGGGAUUGCUCCACUUUUUAUUAAAUGCUUCAAUAGGCAGAGAGCAUUCUGUUGGCAGGUUGGUUUUCUCCUUCAGGAGGAAGGUGCUGCCCUUUGCCAGCUGAACAUCCCCUCUGUGAGGCUUGGGGAGAGGCUGAGAGAAGCCUCCUGUGUGGUUCCACCUGGUUUGUUCAAGCUACGGAGAAGCUUGUCCUGGCCAAGGAGCACUGUGCUAUUAAAAGAGCAGAACAGCAACACAGCAUCAUCUCCAGCUAAUUGUUUCAUCAACUUGGAGAACAACAACUGCUUGCUAAAUAAGGCGCUUCUUUUCUGCUUUGCAAUUGUGCUCUGCUGCCUGCCAAGGGAAGCUCUGCCUCUGGAGGCUUCUCCGGGCCUCUGGAAACGGUGUCUUUGGGUUUAGUCCAGAAAGACAAAACACAAAACCAAGAGCUGCAACCCAGAAGAAGAGACAGAAACUCUGUGGAUGUUUACCCCACUCCCACCUAAGUGAAAACCACAGAACUGCUAAGCAAGCUCUGACUUGAGAAGAAGAAAAAGAAUUAAUGAAACUUAUUUGCUGUGUCUGCAUCAGAAAAUGUUAAUGCUCAGCUAAAGAACAGACACUUGAGAGUUUCCUCCAAUAAGUUUAUGUUUUCAGUUGCUUUCGGAAAAACAAUCACAUUUGCAUAUUUUUACCAAAAUAUUGAGAGUGCUUCAGUCUUUCAUUUUGCAGGAAACUGAAGCAAUCAAGCCAGUCCUGCAACAGGAUUUGAGAAGAAACAAAAAGCCAUUUAGAAUAGGUUACUGCUAUCAUAAUGAACUGAACUGGCGAAGAAUCUUAUUCUUUUCCCAUCCAUGAGUUAUCCAGGAUCAAACAGAAGGUAAGCACCCAUUAGUUAAAGUACACGCUCAGACAUGUUGUCUUCCUUUGUCUCAGG
rnacentral:lncRNA from 1 species